AUGAAGGAGAUGACCAAACACUGAGACUAGAGACACCCAGGACCACAGUCACUCCGAGUGACAGGGAAGGGCUCUGCCUCCCGGGACUACAGUCACUCCAGGUGACGGGGAAGGGCUCUGCCUCCCGGGACCACAGUCACUCCAAGUGACGGGGAGGCGCUCUGCCUCCCGGGACCACAGUCACUCCAGCCCCAGGUGACGGGGAAGGGCUCUGCCUCCCGGGACCACAGUCAUUCCAGGUGACGGGGAAGGGCUCUGCCUCCCGGGACCACAGUCACUCC